rnacentral:rRNA from 1 species
GAUGAACGCUAGCGGCAGGCUUAACACAUGCAAGUCGAGCGGAGAUGAGGUGCUUGCACCUUAUCUUAGCGGCGGACGGGUGAGUAAUGCUUAGGAAUCUGCCUAUUAGUGGGGGACAACAUUCCGAAAGGAAUGCUAAUACCGCAUACGUCCUACGGGAGAAAGCAGGGGAUCUUCGGACCUUGCGCUAAUAGAUGAGCCUAAGUCGGAUUAGCUAGUUGGUGGGGUAAAGGCCUACCAAGGCGACGAUCUGUAGCGGGUCUGAGAGGAUGAUCCGCCACACUGGGACUGAGACACGGCCCAGACUCCUACGGGAGGCAGCAGUGGGGAAUAUUGGACAAUGGGGGGAACCCUGAUCCAGCCAUGCCGCGUGUGUGAAGAAGGCCUUAUGGUUGUAAAGCACUUUAAGCGAGGAGGAGGCUACUGAGACUAAUACUCUUGGAUAGUGGACGUUACUCGCAGAAUAAGCACCGGCUAACUCUGUGCCAGCCGCCGCGGUAAAAC